rfam:uncultured archaeon A07HR60 genomic scaffold scf7180000001775, whole genome shotgun sequence.
GCGAGGGUGGCUGAGCCAGGACAAAAGCGGCGGACUUAAGAUCCGCUCCCGAAGGGGUUCAGGGGUUCGAAUCCCCUCCCUCGCA